GGAGACAGUAACACAGUCAGAUCCUUGGCCAAACAACGCGGAUUGCAGUUCAUUUCAAAGGUUUUGGUAUCAGGAUGAUGCUGGCAUCAUAAAAUGAGUAUUUUUCUUCAGACUUCAGACUGCUGUGCUGGAAGCAAGAAUUUCAAGCAUUGGAUCUUAGCUUGCUGGGCUCCAUAGGGGUGGGAUUCACUGAGCUAGACCACUUGGCUCCCUGGCUUCAGCCCCCUUCCAGAUGUCCUUGGUGUGUACACCCUGUGGAAUCUGGUUCAUCUUCAAUCUGUCAGAAGGCAUCAGAGGUGGUUUUGACUCCUUAUGUCUUGGACCUGUGCACAAAAAGUACGGGCAGGAGAGGAUGCAGGAGACUGUACAAAGUUCAAGAAACGAUAUGCUUUAAUCAAGGUAAAAUGGAUGGAACAUCAGACAGCUCAUUAUAGAGACAAGUAAGCUCCAGUUCCAAAGUUGGUUGACAGAACAAGUCAUGACCUUGUGUGGAGGAAAAUGAGAUCCCGAGUGAAGUCUACAAUGUCAUUGACUCUGAAGAAGGACUCAGAGACCCAUUGGUGUUUAAUGACCCUUACUGGCCUAUGCAAUGGAAACUGAUCUUGAGUGUGCCUUAAAAUUCCAUUUCAUGGAGAACUGUGCGUGGUUGAAUUUUGAUUGAUUACUCAAUUAACUGAUGUAUUGGUAGAGUGAUUAAGAAAGAAGACUUUGGGAUCAGACCAACCUGGUUUUGAAUUCAAGCUCAGCAACUUACUAGGUAAGGAGGAGAAAAGAAAGAAGGAAAAAUUGGAAAGAUAAAUGGGGUCUUUCCAGUGAAGCCUCCAGGCCUCCAGACUGGAACUUAUACCACUGAUUCUUCUGAAUCUUAGGCCUUUGGACUUGGACUGGAACUAAACCAUCAGCUCUUCUUGUUCUACCACUUGCAGACUGUAUAUCUUGGGAUAUGCCAGCCUCUGUAAUCACGCUCAAUUUUCCUACAUAAUUAAGAGUUUGGAAUUUGGGCAAUAUCAAGAACCACAUCUGUCCUGAAAUCAAUUAUCUGUGUUUGAAACACAAGAAAUAAGAAGACCAUUUUGAGAAGAACAGAGAGUAGCCUUAAGAAAAUCCCUGUCGCAAGCACUCUGGGAAUUGGACUCAAAUGCUAAUUAUACAGAACCACUUGGGUGCCCAGCUGCUGUCCAUUCUCCACACUUAUCCCACCUGAUGGAACGCUGUUGAGAAAAACAUCACUGCAAUGCCUAAUAAACAGACAUGGGUCCCAGACCCAAUAAGAGUGAAACCAUCCCCCUAUUUAAAUGAAAUUAUGGCUGAUGAGAAAGACAAAUUAAUUUCUCUGUCCCCAGUAUUACACAAAACUUUGGAUGCUGCCACUGUUACAAUUUUAUUUUCCCCAGGAGCUCAGAGUCCCACCUUCAUUCUUUUUGUUUAAUGCUUAAGCUUGCCUCUCCACCUAUGGAAGACUAGAAUGAGCAGAGACCAUGUAUUCAAUGAUCUGUAAAUCUAACAGGAAACAAUAUAAUAAAUAUAUUGUGUUUGCUAACCAAA